UGCGCAGGCGGUUCGGAAAGAAAGGUGUGAAAUCCCAGGGCUUAACCUUGGAACUGCACUUUUAACUACCGGGCUAGAGUACGUCAGAGGGGGGUAGAAUUCCACGUGUAGCAGUGAAAUGCGUAGAGAUGUGGAGGAAUACCGAUGGCGAAGGCAGCCCCCCUGGGAUGAUACUGACGCUCAUGCACGAAAGCGUGGGGAGCAAACA
rnacentral:rRNA from 1 species